GGUAAAACUUCAUGACUAAUUAGAGUCUGGCUGAUAUGGUUUGACACAGAGCUAAAUCAUAUUAGCCAGACUCCAGUUAGCCACCAAUUUCUGUU
ensembl:miRNA